UCUGGAAUUUUCCAUUUAAUAUUUUUGGACCUUAGUUAACGGAAGGUAACUGAAACCAUGGAAAGUGAAAUCAUGGUUAAGUGGGGCUAUGAUAAAUUGUGACCACCAAAAACAACAGAAUUCAUAACUGGCACGAUGCAGCUAUUUCUCCACUAAGGGCCCUGAGUGUUCUUUGAGUGUAAAAUUUGUGUUUCUAUUUUGGUGGUUAUCUAAAAAAAAGCUAGCAUCUGUGUGUUGCAGAUCAUCUGGCUGAUUACCGCACAGCUCGAAUUCUGCUUCAUGAUGCCUGCAUUCACAUUUUGUCUUGGAUUCCAGAUGUACUGGCACUACUGAGAUGCUGAAAGCUCGGGAUCCCCUAUAACUGUCUUCUUCAUCACCAACCCAAGAGUACAGCUGCAGAAUUGCAAAGCCAGUUCUUCAGUGUAACAUGCAUAUUUGAUGAUCGGUGUCCACCAAAUUACAGGCUUUUAUCUUUUUAAUCUUUGGGAGUGAGAGUAGUUGACUUUUAAUUUAUGAAUUUGUAUUAAAAGCAAAAAUGUCUGGAGAAAAGCGGUAAACUGGAAAUUAUGAUUGGUGUAAUUUACAAUAGAAAUAGGCAAUUUCGAAUAAAGAGCAGAAAACCAUACCUAAUUUAUGCAUGAGGACAGAAUGCAUGCUGAAAUUAAGACAAGAUUGACACUGAAAGACUAGGCAGAAAAAAAAAACAGAACAGAAAAAGAAGAGAAGAGUGGUGGAAAUGUCAACAGAUUCCUAGUGGAAAUAUUUGCUCACAGCCAUCAAGCUGUACAAGUUUGAAAAAGUAAGAUCAACAAAAUAUAUUACAAGGAUCUUUCUGAACUGGCUCUCAACCUUUUCUUUUUCCCUCAUCCCAUUCUAUUUAUACACAUCACAGUCCCAAGAAUAACACAAGAAAUUCUCCAAGUUUCCAAGAAGGGAAGAUGGAGUGGAGGGCGCCCACCCUAUCUCCAGUGGACAUCCCCUGGGCUACUCCUCUCCUGAUGAGAAAAUGCUCACUUCAGCCAAGUGCAGAAUGGUCCCCUUUGUUUUCGUGGGUAUCAGUGGAGAAUGAGAUCCUUCAUAUGGAAUCUCCCUGUGUUGCUCAGGCUGAUCUCGAACUCCUGAGCCCAAGCAUGCAUCAGCCUCUCAGUAGCUGUGAUUACAGGCAUUGAGUCACCACUCCUGAGAAAUAACAGGACUUUGGUGCUAUUCUCCAAGCUGAAAGCCAUCCUCUUCGGCCCUGAGGACACAGCUUUUUCUGCCAUAACUCACUGUCUCCACUGGCUCAAUUAGCCAAUUAGUGGCAUUGUAGAGGGCUGAGAUGUUACUUUUUAGUUUCCAAUAAAAUUCUCAAGUUGGUUUCAA
rnacentral:lncRNA from 1 species